UACGAAGGGGGCUAGCGUUGCUCGGAAUUACUGGGCGUAAAGCGCACGUAGGCGGAUCCUUAAGUCGGUGGUGAAAUCCUGAAGCUCAACUUCAGAACUGCCUUCGAUACUGGGGACCUUGAGUUCGGGAGAGGUGAGUGGAACUGCGAGUGUAGAGGUGAAAUUCGUAGAUAUUCGCAAGAACACCAGUGGCGAAGGCGGCUCACUGGCCCGAUACUGACGCUGAGGUGCGGAAGCGUGGGGAGCAAACAGG
rnacentral:rRNA from 1 species